rnacentral:rRNA from 1 species
AACGAACGCUGGCGGCAUGCCUAACACAUGCAAGUCGAACGAGACCUCCGGGUCUAGUGGCGCACGGGUGCGUAACGCGUGGGAACCUGCCCUUAGGUUCGGAAUAACUCCCCGAAAGGGGUGCUAAUACCGGAUAAUGUCUUCGGACCAAAGAUUUAUCGCCUUUGGAUGGGCCCGCGUUGGAUUAGCUGGUUGGUAGGGUAAAAGCCUACCAAGGCGACGAUCCAUAGCUGGUCUGAGAGGAUGAUCAGCCACACUGGGACUGAGACACGGCCCAGACUCCUACGGAAGGCAGCAGUGGGGAAUAUUGGACGAUGGGCGAAAGCCUGAUCCAGCAAUGCCGCGUGAGUGAUGAAGGCCUUAGGGUUGUGAAGCUCUUUUACCCGGGAUGAUAAUGACAGUACCGGGAGAAUAAGCUCCGGCUAACUCCGUG